AGUGAACGCUGGCGGUAGGCCUAACACAUGCAAGUCGAACGGCAGCACAGUAAGAGCUUGCUCUUACGGGUGGCGAGUGGCGGACGGGUGAGGAAUACAUCGGAAUCUACUUUUUCGUGGGGGAUAACGUAGGGAAACUUACGCUAAUACCGCAUACGACCUACGGGUGAAAGCAGGGGAUCUUCGGACCUUGCGCGAUUGAAUGAGCCGAUGUCGGAUUAGCUAGUUGGCGGGGUAAAGGCCCACCAAGGCGACGAUCCGUAGCUGGUCUGAGAGGAUGAUCAGCCACACUGGAACUGCAACACGGUCCAGACUCCUACGGGAGGCAGCAGUGGGGAAUAUUGGACAAUGGGCGCAAGCCUGAUCCAGACAUACCGCGUGGGUGAAGAAGGCCUUCGGGUUGUAAAGCCCUUUUGUUGGGAAAGAAAAGCAGCAGGUUAAUACCCCGCUGUUCUGACGGUACCCAAAGAAUAAGCACCGGCUAACUUCGUG
rnacentral:rRNA from 1 species